rnacentral:snRNA from 1 species
CCCCUUAUCUAGAACUACAGUUUUGUUAUAAUCAAGAACCCCAGUUGUGCUAACCCCUGCAAAUUCCCCAAAUGUGGGAAUGAGGAGUGCAUAAUUUCUAGUAGUGGGGGACUGUGAUUGUACUCCUCCCUG